rnacentral:rRNA from 1 species
CCUACGGGUGGCAGCAGUGGGGAAUAUUGCACAAUGGGCGCAAGCCUGAUGCAGCCACGCCGCGUGAGCGAUGAAGGCCUUCGGGUUGUAAAGCUCUGUCCUCAAGGAAGAUAAUGACGGCACUUGAGGAUGAAGCCCCGGCUAACUACGUGACAGCAGCCGCGGUAAUACGUAGGGGGCUAGCGUUAUCCGGAAUUACUGGGCGUAAUGGGUGCGUAGGUGGUUUCUUAAGUCAGAGGUGAAAGGCUACGGCUCAACCGUAGUAAGCCUUUGAAACUGGCGAACGUGAGUGCAGGAGAGGAGAGUGGAAUUCGUGGUGUAGCGGUGAAAUGCGUAGAUAUUAGGAAGAACGCCGGUUGCGAAGGCAGCUGUCUGGACUGUAACUGACGCUGAGGCACGAAAGCGUGGGGAGCAAACAGGAUGAGAUACCCGGGUAGUC